CGGGAUUUGUCUCCAGAGUUUUUGGGAAUCGCUCUGGUCGUGUGCCGCAGCACCGGCUGCGUUUCGCUGAUGAGCGGAGAGCUCCUCGUGUACUUUGCACAGCCAAUUAGCAAAGUAAUUGAGAACUCCUCGGGAUGAAAGGUGCAACACACACACGAUUAUUCACCAUUUUCAUUACAUGCCGUAUCCGGGAAGCUGCUGGAAUGGAAUGCAGCGAGGCACUCCGUGAUGAGGAUUGAGGGAAGUUCUGCAGCACAGAGCAAGGCAGAGAGGAAGAAGGGAUGCACGGCUCAGGAUGUGAUGGAGAUGACCCCAGCAGCUUCCAGGUGGUUGUGAUCCUUGGAAAACUGCUUGGAAGUGGAUUCACCUCAGUCCUUCCCAGCUGUGAGGA
rnacentral:lncRNA from 1 species